rnacentral:misc_RNA from 1 species
UCUCCGUUGGUGAACCAGCGGAGGGAUCAUUACAGGCCUCGCAAUACUCCUACAACCCUGUGCACUUAACUAUAAGAACGUUGCUUCGGCGGGUGUCUCCGAGGGGGUGCGCCCACCCCGAGAAGAUAAACCCGCGGGCAGCCUACUAUACUCUGUCUCUUUGCGUUGGCAUCUCGAGUACCAUCAAACAAGUUAAAACUUUCAACAACGGAUCUCUUGGUUCUG